GACGAACGCUGGCGGCGUGCUUAACACAUGCAAGUCGAACGGAAAGGCCCUGCUUUUGUGGGGUGCUCGAGUGGCGAACGGGUGAGUAACACGUGAGUAACCUGCCCUUGACUUUGGGAUAACUUCAGGAAACUGGGGCUAAUACCGGAUAGGAGCUCCUGCUGCAUGGGGGGGGUUGGAAGGUUUCGGCGGUUGGGGAUGGACUCGCGGCUUAUCAGCUUGUUGGUGGGGUAGUGGCUUACCAAGGCUUUGACGGGUAGCCGGCCCGAGAGGGUGACCGGCCACAUUGGGACUGAGAUACGGCCCAGACUCCUACGGGAGGCAGCAGUGGGGAAUAUUGCACAAUGGGCGGAAGCCUGAUGCAGCAACGCCGCGUGCGGGAUGACGGCCUUCGGGUUGUAAACCGCUUUCGCCUGUGACGAAGCGUGAGUGACGGUAAUGGGUAAAGAAGCACCGGCUAACUACGUG
rnacentral:rRNA from 1 species